rnacentral:rRNA from 1 species
UUGGCUUAACUGGGAGAGGUCGUUCAAAACUAUCAGACUAGAGAGUGGUAGAGGAAGGCGGAAUUCCGGGUGUAGUGGUGAAAUGCGUAGAUAUCCGGAGGAACACCAGUGGCGAAAGCGGCCUUCUGGACCAAUUCUGACGCUCAGACGCGAAAGCUAGGGUAGCGAACGGGAUUAGAGACCCCGGUAGUCCUAGCCGUAAACGAUGUAGACUUGGCGUUGGUGGGGUAAAAUCCAUCAGUGCCGAAGCAAACGCGAUAAGUCUACCGCCUGGGGACUACGGCCGCAAGGUUAAAACUCAAAGGAAUUGACGGGGCCCCGCACAAGCAGCGGAGCGUGUGGUUUAAUUCGAUGAUACACGAAGAACCUUACCAGGGUUUGACAUGCUGGUGGUAGCGAACUGAAAAGGGAGCGACCCUUCGGGGAGCCAGCACAGGUGCUGCAUGGCUGUCGUCAGCUUGUGUCGUGAGAUGUUCGGUUAAGUCCGCUAACGAGCGCAACCCCUGUUGUGUGUUACAUGUGUCACACGAGACUGCCGGUCCUAAACCGGAGGAAGGUGGGGAUGACGUCAAGUCAGCAUGGCCUUUAUGUCCUGGGCUACACACACGCUACAAUGGCCAGUACAAUAGGUAGCGAAGCCGCGAGGUGGAGCCAAUCCUUAAAGCUGGUCUCAGUUCAGAUUGCAGGCUGCAACUCGCCUGCAUGAAGUUGGAGUUGCUAGUAACCGCAGGUCAGCCAUACUGCGGUGAAUACGUUCCCGGGGCUUGCACACACCGCCCGU